rnacentral:lncRNA from 7 species
CCACAGACGGGCCUGGGGAAUGGCUUUGACAAUAAAAACCGCGGUUGUUCCCAGUUUCUGGUGCUGCCGUGCAUGCUGCCCGUAACACUAAAUCGCAGCAGAUCGUUCCACGCUUGCUUUCACUUCUACAUGAAGCGGAUUUUAUUUAAAUUACAAUCUAGCAUUAUAAAAAUUCCAGCAAGCAGCAGGGUCAGGCGAGGACGCGGGGAGCUGGGCUGCCUCACGGCUGCCGUGUCCUUCCCCAGCUUCUGACUGCGGCCACUUUUGCCACAAGGAGAUGCAUUGGCCUCACGUUAACAUAACUAUUGCAUUUCUUUUCCCUUUUCAGAGAGAAAAAAAAAAAAAAACAUUCAACUGUUUCACUUGCAAGGAAACAUCUGAAAAAUCCAGCACUGAGGUGCCCCAAGGGUGGCCUUGUAUGAAACACCAAGCGGGCUGUCCUUUACUGCUUUGAAAAGGGUCAUGUCACCAUGAAGUUUCAAGCCAUUGCUGAGGGGCCCAUUCCCUUCCUCCACCACUGAGGUCAAGUUCAGCCUGCACUUUAGAGAUUGUGACAGACAGAGUUCUACCAUGAAGUUCGGAUGGAUCUGCAGAAGCACAAGAUUUAAGAGGGCAAGCUACAAGGGUGAAGAAUGAAUCAGAAACGUGGCAAAAACAAUACAUGUGACAGACAAACAAACAAGGCUCACAUACUUCCAAAUGUUUUUUCUCAGCCUAUGGCUGUGUGAGCAGACAAUCACCUGCUGUAGGAGAGUCUCAUCCUCCCUCUGGCAUUAUCUGCUGCAACAUUUGUUCAGGAAGACUUUAAGCUGGCUCCCACAAGGACCUCAGUGCCCUUCCUUCAUCCUCUCAAAAACAGCCCUGGCUGCACUCGAGCUCAAUGGCCCUCCAUCUCUGCGAGCAGAAUUCUCUUCUGGAAGAGAAUCCACAUUUGUGGAAUGAACUGCUUGCUUUCUUUGAGUUUAUAAAACAUUUGUCAUGU